rnacentral:snoRNA from 1 species
UCUAUGAUGUUACUUCAUAGUAUAGUUCAUUAGAAUUCAACAUGUUACAAACUUUUUGAAGCUGAU